UAAAGCCAAUUGGGGUGCUUUUAUACCUUGAUGUAUAAAGGCUGAGAUCAAACCCAUUGAACCUGUACGGAUAAUGCCGGCGAAGGGAAAGCAUGAUUUAUGAUU
rnacentral:ncRNA from 1 species